rnacentral:rRNA from 1 species
AUGGGAACGCGAAGAACCUUACCUAGACUUGACAUCUCCUGAAUAGUGUAGAGAUACAUGAAGCCCUUCGGGGCAGGAAGACAGGUGGUGCAUGGUUGUCGUCAGCUCGUGUCGCGAGAUGUUGGGUUAAGUCCCGCAACGAGCGCAACCCUUAUUACUAGUUGCUACCAUUAAGUUGAGCACUCUAGCGAGACUGCCCGGGUUAACCGGGAGGAAGGUGGGGAUGACGUCAAAUCAUCAUGCCCCUUAUGUCUAGGGCUACACACGUGCUACAAUGGCUGGUACAGAGAGAUGCUAAACCGCGAGGUGGAGCCAAACUUUAAAACCAGUCUCAGUUCGGAUUGUAGGCUGAAACUCGCCUACAUGAAGCUGGAGUUGCUAGUAAUCGCGAAUCAGAAUGUCGCGGUGAAUACGUUCCCGGGUCUUGUACACACCG